rnacentral:rRNA from 1 species
GAUGAACGCUAGCUACAGGCUUAACACAUGCAAGUCGAGGGGUAACGAGAGGAAAGCUUGCUUUCCUUGUCGACGACCGGCGCGCGGGUGAGUAACGCGUAUCCAACCUGCCCCCAACUAAGGAAUAACCUUGCGAAAGUAAGACUAAUACCUUAUAAUUUCCUCAGAUGUCAUCUGACGAGGAAUAAAGAUUUAUCGGUUGUGGAUGGGGAUGCGUCUGAUUAGCUUGUUGGCGGGGUAACGGCCCACCAAGGCAACGAUCAGUAGGGGUUCUGAGAGGAAGGUCCCCCACAUUGGAACUGAGACACGGUCCAAACUCCUACGGGAGGCAGCAGUGAGGAAUAUUGGUCAAUGGGCGAAAGCCUGAACCAGCCAAGUAGCGUGCAGGAUGACGGCCCUAUGGGUUGUAAACUGCUUUUAUACAGGAAUAAAGUUAGCCACGUGUGGUUAUUUGUAGGUACUGUAUGAAUAAGGACCGGCUAAUUCCGUGCCAGCCGCCGCGGUAAAAC